rnacentral:rRNA from 1 species
GACGAACGCUGGCGGCGUGCUUAACACAUGCAAGUCGAACGGAAAGGCCCUGCUUUUGUGGGUUGCUCGAGUGGCGAACGGGUGAGUAACACGUGAGUAACCUGCCCUUGACUUUGGGAUAACUUCAGGAAACUGGGGCUAAUACCGGAUAGGAGCUCCUGCUGCAUGGUGGGGGUUGGAAAGUUUCGGCGGUUGGGGAUGGACUCGCGGCUUAUCAGCUUGUUGGUGGGGUAGUGGCUUACCAAGGCUUCGACGGGUAGCCGGCCUGAGAGGGUGACCGGCCACAUUGGGACUGAGAUACGGCCCAGACUCGUACGGGAGGCAGCAGUGGGGAAUAUUGCACAAUGGGCGGAAGCCUGAUGCAGCAACGCCGCGUGCGGGAUGACGGCCUUCGGGUUGUAAACCGCUUUCGCCUGUGACGAAGCGUGAGUGACGGUAAUGGGUAAAGAAGCACCGGCUAACUACGUG